GACGAACGCUGGCGGCGUGCUUAACACAUGCAAGUCGAACGGAAAGGCCCUGCUUUUGUGGGGUGCUCGAGUGGCGAACGGGUGAGUAACACGUGAGUAACCUGCCCUUGACCUUGGGAUAACUUCAGGAAACUGGGGCUAAUACCGGAUAGGAGCUCCUGCUGCAUGGUGGGGGUUGGAAAGUUUCGGCGGUUGGGGAUGGACUCGCGGCUUAUCAGCUUGUUGGUGGGGUAGUGGCUUACCAAGGCUUUGACGGGUAGCCGGCCUGAGAGGGUGACCGGCCACAUUGGGACUGAGAUACGGCCCAGACUCCUACGGGAGGCAGCAGUGGGGAAUAUUGCACAAUGGGCGGAAGCCUGAUGCAGCAACGCCGCGUGCGGGAUGACGGCCUUCGGGUUGUAAACCGCUUUCGCCUGUGACGAAGCGUGAGUGACGGUAAUGGGUAAAGAAGCACCGGCUAACUACGCG
rnacentral:rRNA from 1 species